rnacentral:rRNA from 1 species
AACGAACGCUGGCGGCAGGCUUAACACAUGCAAGUCGAGCGCAUCCUUCGGGGUGAGCGGCAGACGGGUGAGUAACGCGUGGGAAUCUACCUUUUGCUACGGAAUAGCUCCGGGAAACUGGAAUUAAUACCGUAUGUGCCCUUAGGGGGAAAGAUUUAUCGGCAAGAGAUGAGCCCGCGUUGGAUUAGCUAGUUGGUGGGGUAAAGGCCUACCAAGGCGACGAUCCAUAGCUGGUCUGAGAGGAUGAUCAGCCACAUUGGGACUGAGAUACGGCCCAGACUCCUACGGGAGGCAGCAGUGGGGAAUAUUGCACAAUGGGCGGAAGCCUGAUGCAGCAACGCCGCGUGCGGGAUGACGGCCUUCGGGUUGUAAACCGCUUUCGCCUGUGACGAAGCGUGAGUGACGGUAAUGGGUAAAGAAGCACCGGCUAACUACGUG